rnacentral:rRNA from 1 species
AGAGUUUGAUCAUGGCUCAGGAUGAACGCUAGCUGGAGGCUUAAUACAUGCAAGUCGAGCGGGAUUGGUAACAAUACCAUGAGAGCGGCGCACGGGUGAGUAACGCGUACACGACCUACCUCUAACAGGGGGAUAGCCCUGGGAAACUGGGAUUAAUACCGCAUAUAAUUCUGAUUUAUAAAUAGUUGGAAUGAAAGUUCAGGCGGUUAGAGAUGGGUGUGCGUCUGAUUAGCUAGUUGGUGAGGUAACGGCUCACCAAGGCGAUGAUCAGUAGGGGGCGUGAGAGCGUGUCCCCCACACGGGUACUGAGACACGGACCCGACUCCUACGGGAGGCAGCAGUAAGGAAUAUUGGUCAAUGGGCGAAGGCCUGAACCAGCCAUCCAGCGUGCAGGAAGAAGGCCCUACGGGUUGUAAACUGCUUUUGCCAGGGAAGAAACCC